GACGAACGCUGGCGGCGUGCUUAACACAUGCAAGUCGAACGGAAAGGCCCUGCUUUUGUGGGGUGCUCGUGUGGCGAACGGGUGAGUAACACGUGAGUAACCUGCCCUUGACUUUGGGAUAACUUCAGGAAACUGGGGCUAAUACCGGAUAGGAGCUCCUGCUGCAUGGUGGGGGUUGGAAAGUUUCGGCGGUUGGGGAUGGACUCGCGGCUUAUCAGCUUGUUGGUGGGGUAGUGGCUUACCAAGGCUUUGACGGGUAGCCGGCCUGAGAGGGUGACCGGCCACAUUGGGACUGAGAUACGGCCCAGACUCCUACGGGAGGCAGCAGUGGGGAAUAUUGCACAAUGGGCGGAAGCCUGAUGCAGCAACGCCGCGUGCGGGAUGACGGCCUUCGGGUUGUAAACCGCUUUCGCCUGUGACGAAGCGUGAGUGACGGUAAUGGGUAAAGAAGCACCGGCUAACUACGUGCCAGCAGCCGCGGUGAUACGUAGGGUGCGAGCGUUGUCCGGAUUUAUUGGGCGUAAAGGGCUCGUAGGUGGUUGAUCGCGUCGGAAGUGUAAUCUUGGGGCUUAACCCUGAGCGUGCUUUCGAUACGGGUUGACUUGAGGAAGGUAGGGGAGAAUGGAAUUCCUGGUGGAGCGGUGGAAUGCGCAGAUAUCAGGAGGAACACCAGUGGCGAAGGCGGUUCUCUGGGCCUUUCCUGACGCUGAGGAGCGAAAGCGUGGGGAGCGAACAGGCUUAGAUACCCUGGUAGUCCACGCUGUAAACGGUGGGUACUAGGUGUGGGGUCCAUUCCACGGGUUCCGUGCCGUAGCUAACGCUUUAAGUACCCCGCCUGGGGAGUACGGCCGCAAGGCUAAAACUCAAAGGAAUUGACGGGGCCCCGCACAAGCGGCGGAGCAUGCGGAUUAAUUCGAUGCAACGCGUAGAACCUUACCUGGGUUUGACAUGGAUCGGGAGUGCUCAGAGAUGGGUGUGCCUCUUUUGGGGUCGGUUCACAGGUGGUGCAUGGCUGUCGUCAGCUCGUGUCGUGAGAUGUUGGGUUAAGUCCCGCAACGAGCGCAACCCUUGUUCACUGUUGCCAGCACGUUAUGGUGGGGACUCAGUGGAGACCGCCGGGGUCAACUCGGAGGAAGGUGGGGAUGACGUCAAGUCAUCAUGCCCCUUAUGUCCAGGGCUUCACGCAUGCUACAAUGGCUGGUACAGAGAGUGGCGAGCCUGUGAGGGUGAGCGAAUCCCGGAAAGCCGGUCUCAGUUCGGAUUGGGGUCUGCAACUCGACCUCAUGAAGUCGGAGUCGCUAGUAAUCGCAGAUCAGCAACGCUGCGGUGAAUACGUUCCCGGGGCU
rnacentral:rRNA from 1 species